ensembl:lncRNA
CCCAAAAUGGGAGGAAUUGACCCCAAAAUGGCCCUAAAUGGGGGGAAAUGGACCCAAAAAUGGCCCUAAAUGGGAGGAAAUGGACCCCAAAUGGGAGGAAUUGACCCCAAAAUGGGGAGAAAUGGGCCCAAAAUGGUCCUAAAUGGGGGAAAAUGGACCUAAAUGGGGGGAAAUGGGCCCCAAAUGGCCCUAAAUGGGGGGGAAUUGACCCCAAAAUGGCCCUAAAUGGGGGAAAUGGACCCAAAAUGGGGGGAAUUGACCCCAAAAUGGGGAGAAAUGGGCCCAAAAUGGCCCUAAAUGGGGGGAAAUGGACCCCAAAUGGACCCAAAAUGGUGGGAAUGGACCCAAAUUGGGGGGAAUUGACCCCAAAAUGGGGAGAAAUGGGCCCAAAAUGGCCCUAAAUGGGGGGAAAUGGACCCCAAAUGGCCCUAAAUGGGGGGAAAUGGACCCAAAUGGCCCUAAAUGGGGGGAAAUUGACCCCAAAAUGGGGGGAAAUGGACCCCAAAUGGCCCUAAAUGGGGGGAAAUGAACCCAAAUUGGGGGGAAUUGACCCCAAAAUGGCCCUAAAUGGGGGGAAAUGGACCCCAAAAUGGCCCUAAAUGGGGGGAAAUGGACCCAAAUUGGGAGGAAUUGACCCCAAAAUGGGGAGAAAUGGGCCCAAAAUGGUCCUAAAUGGGGGAAAUGGACCCCAUAUGGGGGGAAUUGACCCCAAAUGGCCCCAAAUUGGGGUGAAUGGAGCCCAAAAUGGCCCUAAAUGGGGGGAAAUGGGCCCAAAAUGGCCCUAAAUGGGGGAAAUGGACCCAAAAUGGGGGAAAUGGGGGUGAAUGGACCCAAAAUGGACCUAAAUGGGGGAAAUGGACCCAAAAUGGCCCUAAAUGGGGGGAAAUGAACCCAAAUUGGGGGAAAUGGACCCCAAAAUGGCCCUAAAUGUGGGGAAAUGGACCCAAAAUGGGGGCAAAGGGACCCAAAGUGGCCUCAAAUUGGGGUAAAGUGACCCAAAAUGUCCCUAAAUGGGGGGAAAUGGCCCCAAAUUGGGGUGAAUUGACCCCAAAAUGGCCCUAAAUGGGGGGAAAUGGACCCCAAAUGGUCCCAAAUGGGGUGAAUGGGCCCAAAUGGCCCUAAAUGGGGGAAAUGGACCCCAAAUGGCCCUAAAUGGGGGGAAAUGGACCCAAAUUGGGGGAAAUGGACCCCAAAAUGGUCCUAAAUGGGGUGAAUGGACCCCAAAUGGGAGGAAUUGACCCCAAAAUGGGGAGAAAUGGGCCCAAAAUGGCCCUAAAUGGGGGGAAAUGAACCCAAAUUGGGGGAAUUGACCCCAAAAUGGCCCUAAAUGGGGGGAAAUGGACCCCAAAUGGUCCCAAAAUGGGGUGAAUGGGCCCAAAAUGGCCCUAAAUGGGGGGAAAUGGACCCCAAAUGGCCCUAAAUGGGGGGAAAUGGACCCAAAUUGGGGGAAAUGGACCCCAAAAUGGUCCUAAAUGGGGUGAAUGGACCCCAAAUGGGAGGAAUUGACCCCAAAAUGGGGAGAAAUGGGCCCAAAAUGGCCCUAAAUGGGGGGAAAUGAACCCAAAUUGGGGGGAAUUGACCCCAAAAUGGCCCUAAAUGGGGGGAAAUGGGCCCAAAAUGGCCCUAAAUGGGGGGAAAUGGACCCAAAAUGGGGGAAAUGGGGGUGAAUGGACCCCAAAAUGGCCCUAAAUGGGGGGAAAUGGACCCCAAAUAG